ACGCUCGACACCUACGGGGCAGCAGUCGGGAAUAUUGCGCAAUGGAGGAAACUCUGACGCAGUGACGCCGCGUGCAGGAAGAAGGUUUUCGGAUUGUAAACUGCUUUAGACAGGGAAGAAAAAGGACAGUACCUGUAGAAUAAGCUCCGGCUAACUACGUGCCAGCAGCCGCGGUAAUCUGAGGCGGGCGUGGCGAAGGC
rnacentral:rRNA from 1 species